UNCAACAGCCACCCCUACCUCUUUGGGCC
rnacentral:piRNA from 1 species